rnacentral:misc_RNA from 1 species
CUAUGGAGUACAUCAACUUAAAGGUCAGUACAAGUCUUAAUAAUGUAGUAAUUUAUUACAAUAUAUGGUUAAGCAAAAAUCCUAUCUUUCCCAAAAGCAACGAGUAAUUCGUAUGCUGAAUGAUAGGCGGAUUUAUGGGGCAUUUUGACCAAUGCCAAUCUUGUGUCUAGUUUUGAGAGUUUUAUCUCUCUAUGAUAGUUCUUUGAAAACUGAAUAGCAGACAUAAAAGUAUGUAACAACGUUAAAUAUCAUUAGAUUUUUAACAGCUUACAUCGAGUCACACCAUUAUUGGUAUUUUUUAAAUGCUAAUAAUGAGUGUAACAAACCAAUAAAACAACAACAGUAUUCAUAUGUAUUUAUAUAUAUGAGUACGAUCUCAAGAUAAAAAUUAAAAUAUUCGUAUUUUAAAUUUUCGUCAAUGAUAAAUAAAAUCAAAUAGAUAACCUUAAGAUAUAAAUCAAAAAUAGGUCCAACUUAAUUGUUGGACGUUACUAAAA